UGCAAGCCUGUUGGGUGUGAUUACGGCUUGUCAUAGUUACUCUGAUU
rfam:Drosophila persimilis strain MSH-3 cont1.003231, whole genome shotgun sequence.